UAGGGAAUCUUCCACAAUGGGCGAAAGCCUGAUGGAGCAACGCCGCGUGUGUGAUGAAGGGUUUCGGCUCGUAAACACUGUUGUAAGAGAAGAAUGACAUUGAGAGUAACUGUUCAAUGUGUGACGGUAUCUUACCAGAAAGGAACGGCUAAAUACGUGCUAG
rnacentral:rRNA from 1 species